AACGAACGCUGGCGGCAGGCCUAACACAUGCAAGUCGAGCGAGGACUUCGGUCCUAGCGGCGGACGGGUGAGUAACGCGUGGGAACGUGCCCUUUGCUUCGGAAUAGCCCUGGGAAACUGGGAGUAAUACCGGAUGAGCCCUUUGGGGGAAAGAUUUAUCGGCGAAGGAUCGGCCCGCGUUGGAUUAGGUAGUUGGUGGGGUAAUGGCCUACCAAGCCGACGAUCCAUAGCUGGUUUGAGAGGAUGAUCAGCCACACUGGGACUGAGACACGGCCCAGACUCCUACGGGAGGCAGCAGUGGGGAAUCUUAGACAAUGGGGGAAACCCUGAUCGAGCCAUGCCGUGUGAGCGAUGAAGGCCUUAGGGUUGUAAAGCUCUUUCAGCUGGGAAGAUAAUGACGGUACCAGCAGAAGAGGCCCCGGCUAACUCCGUG
rnacentral:rRNA from 1 species